rnacentral:tRNA from 1 species
GGAGAGAUGUCUGAGGGGUCGAAAGAGCUCGUCUCGAAAGCGAGUAGCCCUGUUCGGGGCUCGUGGGUUCGAAUCCCACUCUCUCCGCCA